AGCUGGGUGGCUCAGUCAGUUGAGCGUCUGACUUCGGCUCAGGUCAUGAUCUCAUGGUUUGUGGUUCGAGCCCACGUCAGGCUC
rnacentral:tRNA from 1 species